GUGUCAGCAGCCGCGGUAAUACGUAGGGUCCAAGCGUUGUCCGGAUUUAUUGGGCGUAAAGAGCUCGUAGGCGGUUCCGUAAGUCGGAUGUGAAAACUCAGGGCUCAACCCGGAGACGCCAUCUGAUACUGCGGUGACUGGAGUCUGGUAGGGGAUCACGGAAUACCUGGUGUAGCGGUGAAAUGCGCAGAUAUCAGGUGGAACACCGAUGGCGAAGGCAGUGAUCUGGGCCAGUACUGACGCUGAGGAGCGAAAGCGUGGGGAGCAAACAGGAUUAGAAACCCUCGUAGUCC
rnacentral:rRNA from 1 species